CAUUAAAUGACUGAAAAGUAAGUUUUGAUUUUUUAAAUCAAAUAUAAUAGAAUUUACACCUAUUUUUAAUGA
rnacentral:tRNA from 1 species